GCUGAUGUAGCUCAGAUGGCUAGAGCAUACGGCUCAUAACCGUAGUGUCCGGGGUUCGAUUCCCUGCAUCAGCACCA
rnacentral:tRNA from 1 species